AACUAACGCUGGCGGCGUGCCUAACACAUGCAAGUCGAACGAGAAAGUUGGCUUCGGCCGAUGAGUAAAGUGGCGCACGGGUGAGUAACGCGUGGAUAAUCUGCCCUUAAGUUCGGAAUAACGUACCGAAAGGUGCGCUAAUACCGGAUAAUACUGAGUGACUACUGUUGCUUAGUCAAAGAAGGCUUCUGUUUACAUGCUUUUGCUUUGGGAUGAGUCCGCGUACCAUUAGCUAGUUGGUAGGGUAAUGGCCUACCAAGGCUACGAUGGUUAGCUGGUCUGAGAGGAUGAUCAGCCACACUGGAACUGAGACACGGUCCAGACUCCUACGGGUGGCUG
rnacentral:rRNA from 1 species